GCCCUGUGAUGAUUAUUUAAGGCUUGUUUCUCAAAACAUUUGCAUUUGCUUCGCCCAGCCAGGCUUGAGAGCUAAUGUUGUUUGAUCCAUCCUUGGAUGUCUUCGGGC
rnacentral:snoRNA from 1 species